CUAAGGGCCUGAUCCAAAGCCAACUGAAGCCAAUAGGAGUCUUUCCACUGACUUCAGUGAGCUUUGGGUCAAGCCCUAACUGAG
rnacentral:pre_miRNA from 1 species